AAGGACUAUGAUAUGGAAAGCCCAAGCCCUUUCAAGAAAUCUGAUAUUAUCGGCAUUGUUCCUGUGUGUAAACAUGUAGGAUGCUCUUCUGCAGAUGGGCGGACCCUAUUGGAGUCAUCAAAGAUGGCACUCGAUAAAGGAAAGCUAGAAGAUGCUGUCAACUAUGGAACGAAGGCAUUGGCAAAGAUGAUAGCUAUCUGUGGUCCCUAUCAUCGUACGACUGCGAGUGCGUA